GUGUCAGCAGCCGCGGUAAGACAGAGGUGGCAAGCGUUGCUCGGAGUUACUGGGCAUAAAGGGCGCGUAGGCGGUCGUGCACGUCGAGGGUGAAAUCCCCGGGCUUAACCCGGGAACUGCCUUUGAUACGGCGCGACUCGAGUGCGGGAGGGGAGAGUGGAACUCCUGGUGGAGCGGUGAAAUGCGUAGAUAUCAGGAGGAACGCCGGUGGCGAAAGCGACUCUCUGGUCCGCAACUGACGCUGAGGCGCGAAAGCUAGGGGAGCAAACGGGAUUAGAUACCCUCGUAGUCC
rnacentral:rRNA from 1 species